UCAGGUUUGCAAUGUUUCCGACUUUGGUUGCUUGGAAGAGAUUGGAUUGGUUUGCAAUUUGGUUUCGGCAUAAUGAAGUUCAACAUGAAGAUGACAUCCCUUACAAGUAUGGAUUCUUCCAUCUAUUAUUUUCCUUGGAGGCCAUGUAUUUUGCAAUGCUACUCAUCAGUUGGAACCUCAAUAACUCAGCUAAGAAGUAAGGAGCCAAUUACCAUAUUUUAUACAUUCAGAUCUCCUUGUUUGAUAACUUUCACUUCAUUCCGAUCAUUGUACAUACAAUUCCAAAACAAUCAUGUGGAGCAUUGAUGUUGGCUGGGCUAGUACAUGGGUAAAGAUUGUCAAUGAGUUGAUUUGAGAAAUUCGUGGCCUGGGUAAACUUGUUUUUGGCCAUCAUAACUAUAUGGUGACCAAUUAGUUGAUUUGAGAAGUAUAGGUGUGUCUGUUGUAAUUCAAGUGGAUAUUGCAAUUCUGCAAGUAAAUGUUGAGAAAUUAUGUUUGUAAAAGCUCUACUGAGCUCCCAUUCAUAGAUAGAAAUGAGCUUAGUA